UAACACAUGUCAAGUCGAACGUGUAGAGGGUAGCAAUAUCCUUGAAAGUGGCGCACGGGUGAGUAAUACGUAGGUAACCUGCCCUGGAGUGGGGGAUAACAACUGGAAACGGUUGCUAACACCGCAUAAUACCGGAUGUCUGGGAAGACGACUGGUAAAAACUCUGGUGCUUCAGGAGGGGCCUGCGGCCGAUUAGCUAGUUGGCGGGGUAAGAGCCCACCAAGGCAUUGAUCGGUAGCUGGUCUGAGAGGACGAUCAGCCACACGGGAACUGAGACACGGUCCCGACUCCUACGGGGGGCAGCAGUGAGGAAUAUUGGGCAAUGGGCGAAAGCCUGACCCAGCAACGCCGCGUGGAGGAAGACGGCCUUCGGGUUGUAAACUCCUUUUACGGGGGAAGAGGAAGGACGGUACCCCGAGAAUAAGUCACGGCUAACUACGUGCCAGCAGCCGCGGUAAUACGUAGGUGACAAGCGUUAUCCGGAAUUACUGGGCGUAAAGCGCACGCAGGCGGCGCUGUAAGUCUGACGUGAAAUCUCCUGGCUUAACUGGGAGGGGUCGUUGGAAACUGCAGUGCUUGAGGCGGUGAGAGGGGUGUAGAAUUCCYGGUGUAGUGGUGGAAUGCGUAGAUAUCGGGAGGAAUACCAGUGGCGAAAGCGGCACUCUGGCACUAGCCUGACGCUCAUGUGCGAAAGGCGUGGGGGAGCGAACGGGGAUUAGAUAUCCCGGUAGUCCACGCGGUAAACGAUGAAAUACUAGGUGUGGGGGGAGUGAAAUCYUUCUGUGCYGAARYCAAACGCGCYUAAGUAUUCCGKCUUGGGGAGUGCGGGYCGCAGGGGCUA
rnacentral:rRNA from 1 species